rnacentral:rRNA from 1 species
AUUGAACGCUGGCGGCAUGCCUUACACAUGCAAGUCGAACGGUAACAGGUUAAGCUGACGAGUGGCGAACGGGUGAGUAAUAUAUCGGAACGUGCCCAGUCGUGGGGGAUAACGUAGCGAAAGCUACGCUAAUACCGCAUACGAUCUACGGAUGAAAGCGGGGGAUCGCAAGAACUCGCGCGAUUAGAGCGGACGAUAUCAGAUUAGGUUGUUGGUGAGGUAAAGGCUCACCAAGCCUGCGAUCUGUAGCUGGUCUGAGAGGACGACCAGCCACACUGGAACUGAGACACGGUCCAGACUCCUACGGGAGGCAGCAGUGGGGAAUUUUGGACAAUGGACGCAAGUCUGAUCCAGCAAUGCCGCGUGCAGGACGAAGGCCUUCGGGUUGUAAACUGCUUUUGUACGGAACGAAACGGCGAGCUCUAAUACAGUUUGCUAAUGACGGUACCGUAAGAAUAAGCACCGGCUAACUACGUGCCAGCCGCCGCCGUAA